UUUAGAGAUUGUAGUGCAUACAUCUGACCUAGAGAUGGCUAAAACUUAAACACAUGGGUUUAGUCAUUUUGGUGCCACAAAUAUGAUAUUCUUCCUCUCUCUAUCCGUAAGACUCUCUCUCACUACAUUUCCUUCUUUUUCCUUUAUUUAACAUUUUUGCAUGCUUCAACAGAAGAUUUGAUCUAGUCAAACUUGGAUUUUGGAGGCGAGCUAGUUAGAAAAGUUGGCAAGCACAACGAGGGAUACCCUCUAAUUGUCUUAGAUUCGAAUUUGGUGGAAUUGCACUUUGACCCGAGGUUCUGCUUUGAUUUCAAGGCAGGGGUGUUUGACCAAUAAUGCUUUAGUCCCUUGUUAUGGGAAAGAAGUGGCGGACAAUACGCCUCCAUAAGCGUAGACAUUGACUAGUGACUUAUUUUGUGCCAAGAAUAGUGUAGGAAGGGGACUUCGUAUUUAGUGUUAUUAUUUUGUGUUUUAACAUAUAAACAAUGUAAUUGUGGCCACAGUAGUCUUAACCUUGUAACCAUAUUCUUUUGAAUAACCUUAUAUUACUCUUGGGCAUGUAUAUAAUGAUUCUAGCUUCAUUUGGUAUAUGUAACAUAAAUUGAUGGGAGACUGACUAUGAGUGCAAAUGUUCCAUUUUGGCUAUUUUAUGUAUAUAUGGAUGCAAAAUGGCAUUUCAUAU